CCUACGGGGUGCAGCAGUGGGGAAUAUUGGACAAUGGGCGAAAGCCUGAUCCAGCCAUGCCGCGUGUGUGAAGAAGGCCUUCGGGUUGUAAAGCACUUUCAGUGGGGAAGAAAGCCUUGGGGCUAAUACCCUCGAGGAAGGACAUCACCCACAGAAGAAGCACCGGCUAACUCCGUGCCAGCAGCCGCGGUAAUACGGAGGGUGCGAGCGUUAAUCGGAAUUACUGGGCGUAAAGCGCGCGUAGGCGGUCUGAUAAGCCGGUUGUGAAAGCCCCGGGCUCAACCUGGGAACGGUAUCCGGAACUGUCAGGCUAGAGUGCAGGAGAGGAAGGUAGAAUUCCCGGUGUAGCGGUGAAAUGCGUAGAGAUCGGGAGGAAUACCAGUGGCGAAGGCGGCCUUCUGGACUGACACUGACGCUGAGGUGCGAAAGCGUGGGUAGCAAACAGGAUUAGAUACCCGAGUAGUCC
rnacentral:rRNA from 1 species